rnacentral:rRNA from 1 species
GACGAACGCUGGCGGCGUGCCUAAUACAUGCAAGUCGAACGGAGUGGGGACGGGUGAGUAACACGUGGGUAACCUCCCAUCAGAGGGGAUAACACUUGGAAACAGGUGCUAAACCGAUACUGAUGGAUGGACCCGGGGUGCAUUAGCUAGUUGGUGAGGUAACGGCUCACCAAGGCCACGAUGCAUAGCUGACCUGAGAGGAUGAUCGGCCACACUGGAACUGAGACACGGCCCAGACUCCUACGGGAGGCAGCAGUGGGGAAUAUUCGACAAUGGGCGAAAGUCUGACCGAGCAACGCCGCGUGUGUGAAGAAGGUUUUCGGAUUGUAAAGCUCUGUUGUUAGAGAAGCGGUAUCUAACCAGUAAGCCACGGCUAACUACGUGCCAGCCGCCGCGGUAAUAC